AAUCAACGCUGGCGGCGUGCCUAACACAUGCAAGUCGAACGCGAAAGUCCCGCAAGGGAUCAGUAGAGUGGCAAACGGGUGAGUAACACGUGGGUGACCUGCCUUCGAGUGGGGGAUAACGUCCCGAAAGGGACGCUAAUACCGCAUGACAUCCUGCCUUUGAAUAGGUGGAGAUCAAAGCUGGGGAUCGCAAGACCUAGCGCUCAAAGAGGGGCCCGCGCCUGAUAGCUAGUUGGUGGGGUAACGGCUCACCAAGGCAUCGAUCAGUAUCCGGCCUGAGAGGGCGGACGGACACACUGGGACUGAGACACGGCCCAGACUCCUACGGAGGCAGCAGUGGGGAAUUGUUCGCAAUGGGCGCAAGCCUGACGACGCAACGCCGCGUGGAGGAUGAAGACC
rnacentral:rRNA from 1 species